rnacentral:rRNA from 1 species
CGAGAGGGCAGCCAAGUCGUGAGGCGGAGCUAAUCCCCUAAAGCCAUUCUCAGUUCGGAUUGUAGGCUGAAACUCGCCUACAUGAAGCUGGAGUUACUAGUAAUCGCAGAUCAGAAUGCUGCGGUGAAUGCGUUCCCGGGUCUUGUACACACCGCCCGUCACACCACGGAAGUUGGGGGCGCCCGAAGCCACUUAGCUAACCCUUUUGGGAAGCGAGUGUCGAAGGUGAAAUCAAUAACUGGGGUGAAGUCGUAACAAGGUAAC